AACUUUUUGCAACGGAUCUCUUGGCUCUCGCGUCGAUUAAGAACGCAGCGAAAUGCGAUACGUAAUGUGAAUUGCAGAAUUCAGUGAAUCAUCGAAUCUUUGAACGCACCUUGCGCCCCUUGGAAUUCCGAGGGGCACACCCGUUUGAGUGUCGUGAACAUCCUUCAACCUUUCUUGGUUUCUUGACCGGGGAAGGCUUGGACUUUGGGGGUCUUUCAUUGCUGGCCUCUUUGAAGCCAGCUCCUCCUAAAUGGAUUAGUGUGGUCUGCUUUGCCGAUCCUUGACGUGAUAAGAUGUUUCUACGUCUUGGGUUUCGCACUGUCGCUUUAGACCCCGCUUCUAACCGUCUUGCAUUCAAGACAGAGUUUUAAACCUUGACCUCAAAUCGGGUGAGACUACCCGCUGAACUUAAGCAUAUCAAUAAGCGGAGGCU
rnacentral:misc_RNA from 1 species